rnacentral:rRNA from 1 species
UACGAAGGGGGCUAGCGUUGCUCGGAAUCACUGGGCGUAAAGGGUGCGUAGGCGGGUCUUUAAGUCGGGGGUGAAAUCCUGGAGCUCAACUCCAGAACUGCCUUUGAUACUGAAGAUCUUGAGUUCGGGAGAGGUGAGUGGAACUGCGAGUGUAGAGGUGAAAUUCGUAGAUAUUCGCAAGAACACCUGUGGCGAAAGCGGCUCACUGGCCCGGUACUGACGCUGAGGCACGAAAGCGUGGGGAGCAAACAGGG